AUUGAACGCUGGCGGCAGGCCUAACACAUGCAAGUCGAGCGAGCGGCGGAGGGGUGAGUAAUGUAUGGGGACUGCCCGAUAGAGGGGGAGAACUACAGGAAACGGUGGCUCAUACCGCAUACUGUAGGAUAACCAUAUGGGGUUAGCUAGUAGGUAAGGUAAUGGCGUACCUAGGCGACGAUCCCUAGCUGGUCUGAGAGGAUGAUCAGCCACACUGGGACUGAGAGACGGCCCAUACUCCUACGGAGGCAGCAGUGGGGAAUAUUGCACAAUGGGCGCAAGCCUGAUGCAGCCAUGCCGCGUGUAUGAAGAAGGCCCUAGGGUUGUAAAGUACUUUCAGUCGGGAGGCGUUACCGACAGAAGAAGCACCGGCUAACUCCGUGCCAGCAGCCGCGGUAAUUC
rnacentral:rRNA from 1 species